UGUUUCUGUAGCAAGAGAAUCACAGAAGUUAUCACAUUGCAUCCUCUAGGUGGAGUGAUUUUGAUGUGUCCUGUUAACUGAACUUAAUUCGCUUGAUUAAGCUUUUGCCGGGCUUCACCACUAUAAAUUCACUCUUUUUCCCUUUGUGAUUAAUACAUAUUUUGGGGGGAAGUGCUUUGAACCUAUAUAAAUAUCCUAUUACUCAUCAAACUUUCCAUUUUAUUCAGGUAUUUAUGGAAUCAUAAGUAAUCUAAGUAUGCACUUAUGGUAUCCUAUUUGAAUAAAUGGUUACAAUCCAUUCAAUAUUUGUUUGAUGCUCCUGGUGUCCCAGAUUUGGCCAGUGGGAAUCCAUUUAAGCUGACUUUUGACAUGUCUUCGUCAUUCUUUAGCACUUCCUUACUUCCUAGUCCAAAAUAUUCCAGGCUUACCUUGUAUUUUCUAUAACCCAGCCCUAGAAUCAGCCAUUUUCAAAAGAUCCUUGGUUCUCUUUAGCAGAGAAUGGUAAUUAGAAACCAAGACCUCAGUCUAGAUGUGCCCAUUCUUUUGAUGUGUUACUGAUCCUAGGCCAUCUGAGUGAACAGAAUUAGGGACUGUGUAUGUAUGUGUGGUGUGUGUGUGUGUGUGCACGCACAUAUUUAUAUUUAUCUACUCUCUACUUAUAUUUAUAUCCAGGAGUUUAUACCAACACCUCCAAUUCUGAUGCACCAUGGUAGAUUUUGUUUUAGUUUUUCUAUCCAUAUUUGUAAUUCCCUAAGCUUGCCAAUGUAAAAUUUACCUUGCUUGAGCCUAUCUAAUGGCUUUAGAAUUGAAUUGUUCAAGAAGGGAAGGAAAGAGGAAAAGAAAGAGUGUCUAAGUAGUUUGGAAAUGAGCAUCCUGCCAGCAUCUGAGAACCGGCAAUGAGCCAGUCACUGUUAGACACUUGGGAUGUGCAGAUAAAAAACCCAGCAUCUGUCUCACAGAGCUCAGUUAGUGAGGGAUAGAUUUUAAUGAGCCACAUUUAUAACGACAAAAUAUGAAUUAUGUCCAAGAUGCUAAAGGAGCAGUGUGGGAAGCCCUCUUUCCCAGAGUGUCAGCUUUAGUUGGGAAUGAAAGGAAGAGAAGUAGGGCUCUGGGAGGGAGGGAGAGAGGGACAGGUGGGGUAAGCCAUCUUGAAACCAUGCUAAGUAUGGUCUCUGAAGUCCACUACAGAAUUCAAAACAAGAAGCAACCUGGUUAGUGUUGCAUGUGGAAGUUUCCCUAUCGACAUUGAAACUCUUGGUCUGUCUGUAUAGGUUUGGAAGAGGGGGGCAUAUUGAAUUGGAAGGAAAUAUUUUUGAGUGAAGAUUACUUAAUUCAGUCCAUAGCCAAUUCAGCUGAGCUCAGUGUCCCUCUCCCUUUCUCCUUAAAGGCCAAGCAAGAGAAAAAAAAACCAUAUUGAUUUGAAGCCUUUCCAGCCUGAGCAUAGGGGCUUGUACAAAUUUAAGUGUUCGUCUUACUAUGUUCAAGUGCAAUAUGGAACAGUACUACCAAGAAUAGGGAAAGAGUAGUAUGGAGUUUUACUUUGUUUCUUUGAAACUAUAUUGUAAGUCAAGCUUCUAGUUUGUAUUAACCAGUUACUGUGCAUUAGCAGAGAUGGUAAAAGACUCAUGAGUAUUCUUCUUAAGAUUGUUGAAAUUCUGCCACAUUACUCUGAGAUGCCACAAAGAGGGAUGAAAUGAUGUCUGAAGACUGCUGGUCUAGAAACAAGAGAAUCUAUUAGAUAGAUCCUAGGGCACUGAAUCACAAGUUUUCUAUUGAUUAGUAUGUAGGGCCAACUUAACCACAAUCUUCACACACUAAUUUAGGUGGAAUCUUUUACUUUACUAUUUCCUUCUCUGCAUAAUGUUUUAUCACUGGUUUUCUCUGAUUAGCAGGAUUCUCUAACUGAAUUUUGAUUUACCGCAGCAAACACGAAGAAUACAAUUCAAUUUAUAAACGUUCAAAUCACAUGGUGACUCAGUAGAAAGAACCCAGGCUUUCGGCUAGGGUGGGCCUUCUCUGAUUAGAAGAAUCAGGAUCCAGAAGCCCAAGGAGGCAAACACGAUACAUAAGGUCAUUUUCUGCUGUGUGCACAGAGAAGCAAGACCAUCUGAUGUGCAGAGAGAGAGAUGGAGGAAGCCGAUGCAGAGAAAAGCAGAGGACAGAGAGAGAGGCAGAGGGAAAAGCAGGCUCCCCACUGAGCAGGGAGCCCGAUGCGGC